rnacentral:rRNA from 1 species
UACGUAGGGGGCGAGCGUUGUCCGGAAUCAUUGGGCGUAAAGCGCGCGUAGGCGGCCCGGUAAGUCCGCUGUAAAAGUCCAGGGCUCAACCCUGGAAAGCCGGUGGAUACUGUCGGGCUAGAGUCCGGAAGAGGCGAGUGGAAUUCCUGGUGUAGCGGUGGAAUGCGCAGAUAUCAGGAGGAACACCUAUUGCGAAGGCAGCUCGCUGGGACGUAACUGACGCUGAGACGCGAAAGCGUGGGGAGCAAACAGG